CGAUGGAGGGGGAUAACUACUGGAAACGGUAGCUAAUACCGCAUAACGUCGCAAGACCAAAGAGGGGGACCUUCGGGCCUCUUGCCAUCGGAUGUGCCCAGAUGGGAUUAGCUAGUAGGUGGGGUAAAGGCUCACCUAGGCGACGAUCCCUAGCUGGUCUGAGAGGAUGACCAGCCACACUGGAAUGAGACACGGUCCAG
rnacentral:rRNA from 1 species